rnacentral:rRNA from 1 species
AUUGAACACUGGCGGAAUGCUUUACACAUGCAAGUCGAACGGUAACAGGGUGCUUGCACCGCUGACGAGUGGCGAACGGGUGAGUAAUGCGUCGGAACGUGCCGAGUAGUGGGGGAUAACGCAGCGAAAGUUGUGCUAAUACCGCAUACGUACUGAGGUAGAAAGUGGGGGACCUUCGGGCCUCACGCUAUUCGAGCGGCCGACGUCUGAUUAGCUAGUAGGUGAGGUAAAGGCUCACCUAGGCGACGAUCAGUAGCGGGUCUGAGAGGAUGAUCCGCCACACUGGGACUGAGACACGGCCCAGACUCCUACGGGAGGCAGCAGUGGGGAAUUUUGGACAAUGGGCGAAAGCCUGAUCCAGCCAUGCCGCGUGUCUGAAGAAGGCCUUCGGGUUGUAAAGGACUUUUGUCAGGGAGGAAAUCCCUAGUGCUAAUAACACUGGGGGAUGACAGUACCUGAAGAAUAAGCACCGGCUAACUACGUGCCAGCCGCCGCCGUAA